AUUGUUUUUAGCUCUUCUAUAUCCUGAGAAGAAGCGUCUAUGAUCUGCACCACAGUAUUUUAGGCCUACUGUCCGCUGUACUUAUAACUGGAGUUCUCACGGAUUCAAUAAAGAAUGCAGUCGGCCGGCCUCGGCCUGAUUUCUUCUGGCGCUGCUUUCCUGAUGGCAAAGAAUUGUACGACCAAUUCGGCAAUGUCGUAUGCCAUGGUAUAACAAAUGAGAUACGAGGACGU